rnacentral:lncRNA from 1 species
UCUAAACAGAUGCAGUAACUAUGAUGUUGGUAUGAGACUGUCCUACAGGUCAGGUUUCGAACUGUUGACAAUAGAUGUGCAGAUCGAUAGAUUGUGUUAAAAUCAUUAACUUGCUUGGCCUGAUUGUGUAAGGGAUUAACUUGCUUUAAUGGCGUGCAGCUUCAGGGGCAGAUGGAAAUGUACAGCUUAUGACAUAAUCGCAGAAAGUCGGGCAACCCAUUCGCUUACUUGAUAAACCCUCCCCUGGUUCAGGCCACUAAGGUGUCCAUUUCCUCAUCUCCUCCUCAUGACGUGGCAUUCUUAUUUAUUCCAUAUCCUUAAUUUUACACUAACUGGUCCAAUGAAUCUUUGUUAGUUAAGUGUGCCAAUAUAUGUCUAUUUUUUCCGGUCUUAACGACAUGACAAAUGACACAUGAUUAGGGAGCUGAGUUGUGACCAAAGAUUAAAUC